rnacentral:lncRNA from 1 species
CCAAGGAUUCUACUCCUGAUAGGAAGGAGCUGAAAUUUUAUCUAUUUGCCAGCAGGGACAAAGACACUAACAAGUGGCCAACAACUGCUUGAGAGCUCUCUGAUCAGGAUAGAUAACCUCUGAGAGAGAAACUGCAUCUACCAGCUCACAUAGCACUUAACCCUAGCAGAAAGGCCCAGAAACAGAGAGAAACAGUUGAGUUAAUAAUUAACAGGCACCUGCUGUGUACACAAAAUCCCCAAAUCAUAUGAACACACCAGGAUGAUGUGUGCAACUUCAUCAUCUAGUUUUUUCCACCAUUUUCCAACUUGCUGGGUUAGAGUAAUUAUUCUAUUAACAAGUUUAAUAUGAGUCAGUUCUGGCUGGUAUCUCUGCCUUUCUCUCAUCAGUUCAUUAAUUACAGGGUGGCUUCUCAGAGUGCAGCACAUCCUGAAUGCACUGCUAAAGACUCUUAUCACGCUCACCAUUGGUUCUGGGUAUCAGCUGGGACACAGGUAUGAGAAUGCCACCUCUGCUGGUUGCAGCAGCAAUCCCUCCUGCAGGGCAGUGCAGGCUGCACACACCCUUGGGUGCUCCUGGCCUUUGGGCAGGGAGCAGAGACCACAGCUGCCCCAGGAGAGCACAGAAGAGCCCCUUUUGUCCCUCUAGCAAGGCACAACCAGUUCAGAUACUGGUUGUACCCACAGACCCCCACUCCUGCAUCCAGCAGAGCUUUGCCCUACAGUGAAGGAGCAGAGACCCCCAGAGACCCCCAGCACUGUCUGGUGCAGCACCAGCCCCACAGACUGGGGCUCUCCCCACAUCCUGCAGGGCCCCAGCCCCAGGGACAUCCCNUCUGAGCUCCUCUUCUCCACCCACCAGCCUUUCUGCAUGAAACUUGCAGCAGUUCCAUGCUAUGGAACUUCUACAUUUUGGCUAGCUGCAGCCACAUGUGAGGAUGCAGAAGCACCCCAGGGCAGAGAUGAAGCAAUGCUCUGACACAGUGAGGGGCUGGGGGUGGAGGCAGCCCAGCCCUAAGGACCCUGUGAGUGCAGCUUUGGGUUCAGCUCCAUCAUCACCCAGAUAAUUUCUUUGUCUGGGGGUCACAGGUCACCUGGGCUUUGGGAAGCC